rnacentral:lncRNA from 10 species
CUUUUCUCUAUUUUUGAAAUUUUUAAUUUUUACUUCUUAAACUUUUUUGUUAAAAACGAAGACACAAAUACACACAUUAGCCUAGGCCUACACGGGGUCAGAAUCAUCAGGAUCACUGUCUUCCGCCUCCCCUCCUGUCCCACUGGAAGGUCUUCAGGGGCAAUAACAAGCGUGGAGCUUCAUUUCCUCUGAUAACAAUGCCUUCUUCUCGAAUCCUUCCUGGAGGACCUGUCUGAGGAUGUUUUCCAGCUAGCUUUUUUUUCAUAAGUAGAAAGAGUACACUAAAAUAACAGCAAAAAGUAUAGUAGAUACAUAAACCAGUACCAUAGUCAUUUAUUAUCAAGUAUUAUGUACUAUACAUAACUGGAUGUGCUAUACUUUUAUUAUACAACUGGCAGAGCAGUCAAUUUGUUUACCCCAGCAUAACCACAUACAUGUAAGUAAUGCAUUACACUAUGAUGUUACCAUGGCUACACUAUCACUAGGUAAUAGGAAUUUUUCAGCUCUAUUAGAAUCCGAUGGGACCACCAUUGUAUAUGUGGUCUGCCAUUGGCUGAAGCAUCAUUAUUUGGUGCAUGACUGUAGAACUUUAAGCAAUGAUGAAAAUGCUCUAUAUCCACACUAUCCAAUAUGGUAACCACUAGCCACUUGUGACUACUGAGUGUCUGAAAGGUGACUGGUACAACUGGGGAACUGAAUUUUAAAUUUUCUAUAAUUUAAAUUAAAACAGCCACAUUUAUUUUAUGGCUAUUAUAUUGUAUCCUAUAUCAUAUCAUAUUUAUAUAUCAUAUCAUAUGUUACAUGGUAUAUCAUAUUACAAAUGCAGCUUUAGAUCAUUACUUUCCCUAGAACACAAAUUACAUGAAAAUCUUGAGUACAAUGACAUAGUUACUGAUUUUGCCAGGAUAAAGGAAAAAGUAAAUGUUAUUUAAAAAGCAUAUAAUUUAUGAAUUAUUAAUAUCUUCAUUGAUUAUUCAUCCAAACACCACAGGCCCAUCAACAGAAUUCCCAGUAUAUGCGAUAAUAAUUAUGUUCAGUCAUCGUUGACGUUUUGCCAGCUUUCAGUCAAUUAGAAACUUUGAACUUUACUCGUAUUUUUCUAUCUAAUCAUUAUGAAGAUAUAUUUGUCAAGGAAGGAGAAUAGAAAGCAUGUUGUUCAACUCUUUGUGAUUUAGAACUGUUAAAUAUAGUCAUAUGAUAUGCAGGUUCUGCUUGAAUUCUUGCCCUGGCUCUUGGUGAAGGAUCGGCCUGCUGGAUCUGAGUCAUCCACCUAUAAGAGGGACAACACCACACAUUGGUCGCUGCUCUCAAGCCCCUGGAAUACCACCCCACUUGGCUUCUCCUGAGAUGGGCUCUCACUAUAGCCCUGUUCUGGAACUCCUGGGCUCAAGCCAUCCUCCCACUUUGGCCUCCCCAAAAUGCUGGGAUUACAGGCGUGAACCACCGCAUCUAGCCUAAAAUUAUAUUGUUAAAAGACUUUGUUUCUCAGUUUGGGAUAAUCAGAAUUCAUAGUUCUGAUCUCGACUACCAGUUUUAAUGAGGUACUUCUUUCUAACUCCAUCAGCUGUGUGGCUAUCUGCAGAUACCACCCACAUAAACAAAAACUUUUUGGGAGUCCUCCAGAAUUUUUAAGAGUUAUCUAAACUAUUGCCUUUAAUGACCAGGAACUCCAAUUUGAGAAGUUACCCUACGUUAAGCCAACAGCAGCCUGGCUCCUUCAUCCUGUGCAGUAUGGGACAGAGCUGGGUCCUUGUUGUCAUCAGCCAGACAAGCACACAUUAAAGCCCACCUUAGCCAUUGGCAUUACAGCUUUAAAAGCAGCUCCAUCCUACCAUGCUGUCACUCUACUCAAUCACGUGAUCUUAACGACCAGCUCUACAUAUCCUCUCUCCAUGCCCCCACCACCAUCCCCCACCAACAAAUCCGGUAAUCUAUCUCUGUCAAUAGUCCUGCAGUGAAUUCCGAAUAAGUUUUUCUCUUCCCUGGCCUGCCGUUUACGUAGUACCCUGGAUGAAUCUAUACUUACUCCAUAGUAAGUAGUACCUUGGAUGAAUCUAUACUUGCAUCCAAUGGAAAUGAGAGUGAUGGUGCAGAGUUAUCCGAAGUAACUCCAGCUAUGUUGUGGAUCUUCUAAUCAUGGGCUCAUCUAAGCCUUCCCAGAUAUCACUCUAGUUUUUACAAUCUUUGUUUAUGACAAUUAGGGCUGUAACAUUGGCUGUAGACAUUUGUUGCAUCAAGGAACUCAGCUUCCACUGAAGUUCUGAAGUUAAUCAGUUUCUGAUCUUGUUCUGCAACUCUCUGCAAGAAGAAAAAUCACCAGGAAAUAGUGCAUCCUGAAAGGAGUCAAAGUUUCCUUAUCCAGCUGGAGCAGUGUGAUCUCGGACCAGAGUCAAUUCCUUGCCCAACAGACUUCACAUUGAGCCAUGAGAAGCAGCCUACUUACCCUUACCUGGACACUUCUCCAAAACCUGUGAAAUGGCCUCUGUCACUGCCUCAAAGCCUCAUCCUUGGUGGGCAACUCACCUGGAUCCUGAGACCAAAAUAUAGAGCUUAAUGAACUGCUCCUCUGCUGUAAACCUACUAUCUUUUCACACUAAGAUGUAGAUAUUCUCGCCUUGCUCUACCCAGUGGUGAGCAAGGAUGUUAAUCUAGUUCUUACUUCCCCUGAGAGCCUCUUGCAACUUCACUGUUAAUAGAAAUCACUCUUUUAUGCUUGCAAAGCAUAUCCUUAUCCUUUGGUAUAAGGAAUUUAUACAAAGAUGCACAGGACUGGUGGGGUAACAAGAAAAGCCAUUUCCCUAACUGCCUGCUUAAUCUGGAUCCAAGUGCUGCUAAGACAAAGAAGUACAACAAAUUUAAUAGGAAACCAGAACAAAACCCUAAAACGAACGCUCAAGGUUGUUUGGGUUACAACCUCAGCUUGAGAGAUCUGCUCUGGCAUUUAUACUUCCUAAAAUAGAGAAUUUGAGUGAAUGAGGUGGCCACCAUCCAAAUGAAGUGCCUCAACUGGGAAGAGAUUCAUGCCAACCUGCUAGGGCAUGGUGUUUAGCCUUUCUUAUAUUUAGUCAAUUCAUGGGCUCAUCAUUUGGGGUGAGGUCAUCAGGAUGGUGCCACUCAAUUCACUUGGCAAGAGCCACAGCAACUGAUGUAGGAAGAAGCCUGUUGGAGUUUCUUUUACUAAAGGGCACCUGGGGGCCAAGGAUACAUGGAGUCUUCAUGAAUUAAUGAAUGAAGCCCCUCAACUGGCUCAGUAUAAUUAUUCUCAGGGGACAUCUUUAUAUUCUCUUACAGUUAAAGUCCUGGUGGGGCUAGCUUUUCAAAAUAAUGACUCCAAUUUUGAGGCAGUUCAGAGAAUUUAGUGGAUUGAUUUUUCAAUAUCUCUGUCUGUUACUGAUUAAUUUGUUGAGAGUGAAUGUAGGCAUCAGCUCUAAUUUCCUUGAACAGCUUUUAUAAGUGACUUACAUGUAUAAAGGGCAUCCUCCAAAACCAUUUUAAUUUUUAAAGAUGCCAAACAAUUUGAUAAUUAAGUUCUAUAAAUGUGGACUAGUAUUUCCCAAACUGUGCCCUCUAGGAAAUGCUUCUAGGAGAUGUUAAUAGGUACACAACAAAAAUAAGUGAAUGAAAGAAAAAUUUUCAAUCCAUUGUCAGAAAACUUUGGAAAGAAUUUGUUUACUAUAGGGGACUCUUCUUGGAGAUUUACUCUCCAAUUAGUAUAUUUAAAGACCUGAGAAGUUCCAUUGUAAAGAAAUUUGCUUUUAAUUAACCAAGCAUUUCCCAAAUUUACCUUAACACAGACAAUUUUUAAAUUUUUCCUUAUGCUUCCCCAGAUCCUAAUUUUAGGACAUAUUGAUCUAUGUAAAUUUUAAGUCAAAUGUAUAAUUUUGAAACAUGUGUAGAACUUAAAUGGAACAGGAUAGGGAAUAAGACUUACUUUAAAUCAAGUCCUCAGGAAAAACAAUUCGAGAUAAAAAACUUGUGUGGGGAAGUUUACUGGGUGGUGUUCUCAGGUUCAAUUCCUGCAAGGAAGUAAAGACAUAGCACUGGGCCGAGGGAGAAUUUGAACUGUGUUCUAGCCACAACAAAGUUCUCAUUCUGUCAUAGGGGAUCACCGAAGCCGGAAUGGGCUUUUACAUUUGUCCUGCCUUGAGGCAGCGGGGCUGGGCAUUCAUAACCCUCCUUACCAGGUUGCUUCCAGGAAGAGGUCAUGAUCCUGGGGUGGAUCAAGAACUGCUAUCUUGGGUUGAGGGUAAUUCUUGAAGAAGGAUUCAGCCAGAGUCCCCAUGUCUUAGAGAGGCCAUCAACAAUUCGGAGAUUUAGUGCCUCAUCCCUAAAGAGGGCACUGGAGGGGCUCCAUGGCAGCCUCUACUUUGUGCCACUUGGAUCCAUUUGCUUUGUAGAUUAAGUUCUGAGAACAUUUCCUCCAGGAUCUCGGUUGGUCAUUUCUCUUGGAGAAACUUACAAGAAAAAGGAAAUGGAGGAACUACAGCCUCACCACAUGCAGCUCAUAUAGAGGUUGCAAAUGACAUUCAUCAGCUCCUCCUCAAGUACCAUUCCAGAUCCCCUUGUCCACGGGUGGUAACUUUGUUGGUCCAUGUGGCUGGCCUGAUGUAGUGACCAGACUUUGAUCUCUGAGGGGCCUGAGCUUCAUAGCCACGACUGCUGCACUUCCAUUCAUUACCAAAAUUGCUCCCAUUGGGUAACGGCAGCUCUAUCUCCUCCUUAUAAUAGAGCCGGGAGGCUGGCUCCUCUCCUUGCUUACUGUUGGCACAAGGAGUCAAACGUGACCACUGACAGCCAUAGCUAACAUUUAAUGGGAGCCCUCCUGGGUUUCCUGGUGGAAGCAUUUUUUUUUGGUCUGAAAACCAGAACCUCUAAACCCAUAAAGUUGGGAGUUAUAGAAAUGGGAAACACAAAUUUCACAAGUGUGUCAGUAGUACUGAUGGGAAGUGGGGCAACUCCUAAUCGUCUCCCUUGGUUUCUGGAUUUACCUAUUGAGAACACAGAACCAUGAAAAGGCAGUUGAUUUAGAGCAGUAGCUUUCAAACUUUUGGUCUCAGGACCCCUUUACACUGUUAAAAUUAUUUUAAACAGAAGCCCAAAGCUCAUUGAGGGUGAUAACUACCAAUACUUACUGAAUUAGAAAUUAAAACUGAGGAAACUUUAAAAUACUUCAACUCAUUUGAAGAUAGGGUGGAACACACUGCAUGUUAACAGAUAUAACACCUUCAUAUAAUUAUUAUGAAGUUAGUUUUGACCUCAUGGAACCCUGGAAUCUCUCCUAAAGUGUCAGAUUGUCCCAGAAUAGGAAGGAGCAUAGUGAAGGACACUUGGCAGGUGAAUUUUACUUGCCUUGGUUUGUAAUACCUGAUUCUUAAAAGAAGCUAUGAAAUGUGUUGACGUUGUAGUGAAGUCUGGUCUACUUUAGUGGAAGUGCUUCCUUGAUUUACUCAUUAAUUCCUUUGCCAACAAAAUGAAAUGUUAUUCCUCACUUUCUGUGUAAUCUGCCUAAUAGCAAAGCUUCUUUAUGUUAGCUUUGUUACAUCCUUGAUUAUUCAAGAAAAAAGUAUCAAGUUAUAAAAGAACUUACAUAUUCUUUACAAUCAUGUUACUAUCUACAUUUAAAAAAAUGCUAUUUUGAUUAAAUAGAUAACUAAAUAUCAUUUUCAGGCACCCACAAUCAUAUGUUAAUCAAAUGUCCAAAUCUCCUCUGACAACUUUUUGAUUUUUGCCUUCUCAAAAUCAAAUCCAAAUAUAGAAACAUAUAAGUAAAAAAAGAAUAUUUCAAGAUAUCUUUUACAUCAAAAUCCAUUUUGAGAUUCCCAGAGGGUCCCUGGAAAAUUGCAAAGAUUUGUUUUUUCACUUUAUAAGAAGAGAGGUACUAGAGAUAAUUAGCGUUUUUGAUAUGUUACUAUUAUAAAGUUUCAUGGGAAAAGUUGUCAAAUCAGAAGAGACAUUCAGUUAAAUUUGGGUAUUUAAAAUAUUUUAUUAAUGUAAUGAUUUCAGAAAUUAUAUGAUUUUGGAAAGUCCCUGGAGAUUUGUCAGUGACCUCGCAUUCUAUGUUUUAACUUCUGAGGGAACGUUGACCUAAACUCUGUGGAUUUUUUCCAUAUUCACCAGAAUCUUUGUGUUGCUUUGCCUGAUGAUACUAGACAACAACUGUAUGUUAUUAGUCAUAAUUUCCAUUAUUAUUUAAAAUAUGAACUUCAUCACAGACUUAAUUCUUUAAUUUGACUUUAAUAUAUUCUAUGCCACUGAUUUUCUUUUUUUCUUUUUUUUUGAGACAGUCUCACUCUGUCGCCCAGGCUGGAGUGCAGUGGGGUGAUCUUGGCUCACUGCAAGCUCCGCCUCCCAGGUUCAAGCGAUUCUCCUAACUCAGCCUCCCUAGUAGCUGGGAUUACAGCCUGGUGCCACCACGGCCGGCUAAUUUUUGUAUUUUUAAUAGAGACAGGGUUUCACCAUGUUGGCCAGGCUGGUCUCAAACUCCUGACCUCAAGUGAUCUGCCCACCUCAGCCUCCCAAAGUGCUGGGAUUACAAGCGUGAGCCACUGCACCCGGCCUGAUUUUCAAUUGGGGAUGCACCUCAAACUUACUUACGGAGUUAUAUAAAAAUACAGAUGUCUAGGACCGAUGCCAGAUUUACUGAAUCUCUUUUUAUUCUUGAUAUUUUCUUAGUAUAUGUUUGCUGUAAUCUUAGUAUAUUAUUAUAUUAUGUCUCGGUUAUUAUAUCUCAAGGCUUUUCCUCUCUAAAAUUAUGUUCUCCUAUUUUACAAAUCAGAUGUAACAUUCACUGACUCCUCUGAAAAUAGGCCUAAUCAUUCUUCUUAGAGACAUAUUGUCUGAAAGUUUAUCUCAGAAUGGCUUUAUCAUCUUGUUAGGUGUGCCACAGAAGCACUCAAAUGUCUCUGUGGGUUACAUUAUUCUUAUUAUUAACUCUCAUUAGACCUUUACGUUGGAAAAUUAUUUUAAUAAAUUAACCACAGACAUUUUCCAUUUUCUCUAUCAUUUAAGAUACAUUUGUUUUUUGUUGUUGUUGUUUUUGUUUCUGUUUGUUGUUUUUACUAUUUACUCUGAUGCUUGCCUGAAGAUUCUGCUAUCAGCUACAGGUCUGGGUUUGUGUCUCCGACAAAGAACCACCUCAAAGCCCCACAGAAAAGGACUGUACCGUAUACUUCAAACUAUUGACACCUCAAAGAACAGAGCUUGGGUUCAGGCUUCUGAUGCAUUCUGAGACACUCUCAGACCAUACCAGUGGGCUGGGUCAGGAUUUACAGAACUAUUUUCAUUUCAAGAGCAUACGGGCUCAUGAGAUUGCUAACUCAAGAUCCGGUGGAACAGAAAUACUUAUAUCGGACUGAAUAAACUGAUGAGGAAAAUCUUAUUGCAUUUAUUGGUAGAGAAUACUAUUGAUGUUUAAAUGUUCUCUUUUCCAUAUUUAAAAGCAAACAAGCACUUUCUUUUUCUUCUUAAACUCUCUGUAAUCCGUAAUGAUUUAGUAGACUCUGCUCUUUCUUUUUGUUUUUGUUUUGCUUUGUUUUUUGAGACGUAGUCUCACUUUGUUGCCCAUCUGGGGUGCAGUGGUGGGCUCUUGGCUCACUGCAACCUCUGCCUCCCGGGUUCAAGCAAUUCUGCCUCAGCCUCCCGAGCAGCUGGGACUACAGGCACCUGCCACCAUGCUCGGCUAAUUUUUGUAUUUUUAGUAGAGACGGGGUUUCACUCUGUUGGUCAGGCUGGUCUCGAACUCCUGACCUCAAGCAAUCCACCCGCCUCGGCCUCCCAAAGUGCUGGGAUUACAAGCGUGAGCCACAGCACCUGACCUGACUCUGCUCUUUUAUACUGAAAUGUAACAUUUUAAAAUGAUAUCUGAUUCUCCCCGAUUCCUCUGAAAUCAGAAAUUCUUAAGUGUCCUCACUUUUCACAUCAAUAUGCUUGUUUGUAUAUGUUCAGUAAAAAUCUGUCUUUUAAAAAAAUCAGAAUAUAAUUAGGAAAAUCAAAUAUACAAGCAAGGCCUUUCCUGCAAUGUCACAUUUGUGAAUAAUCUCAUUUAAUGGAACUUAAUGGGGCCAAUACUUAUAAGGUCUUCCCCCAAAAAAUGGCCUGGUGCCUCAUUCACAGAGUCCCAGCCUUACAGGAGUAAAGGCUUGACUGAGGCUGAAAGCUUCACGGCAGGACGGCUCACUUCUGCCUGUUGGCCAGAGACCACAGGGCCUCUUCAUGGGCAGCCUGGGUGUCCUCAUGACGUGGCAGCUGGAAUCGCCUACAUCCACUCAUCAAGGAAGAGAAGGCAAGGAGGAAGUUGCCAUCCUUUUUAUGAGCUAGUCUAAAAGUCACACUGUCACUUCUGCCUUAUUCUAUUUGUUAGAAAUGAAUCACUAAGGCCGGGCACUUGGUAGCUCAUGCCUAUAAUCCUAGCACUUUGGAAGGCCGAGGCAGGUGGAUCAC